ACAAAGACAAAGACAAAGACAAAGCAAGCAGAAUGAUGAGUGAUAUUUUACAUAUUUAUCAACAAUUUCAAAAAUUAAAAUAAGAAAAGAUUCCACUUUUUAAAGGUAUCGGAGAUCGGACGGCUGUGAAAGAAUGGCGCAGGUCGCAGGACAUGCUGCUGAAACAUGUCAGUCAGUUAAUCUUGUUGUGAUGAAACUGGUGAACUACGCG
rnacentral:misc_RNA from 1 species